AUUUACAUACCAAAACUGAAGGAUUAGGAACUUUGUGUAGGAGCAAUCGAAGCAUUGAAAGCUCAGAUUGUGAUUUCCUGCUCAUGGAUGGAGCCCUGAAUUGUACUGGAAUGCCUACAUGAAGGUCCUAACACUGCCUUAAGAGAAAGGAAAACAUUCAACAACACCAAGAGAAUUGCCUAAGAAAAACCCGUAAUAAAAGGACCCUCAGUCUUUCUCAGCGGAGUAUGACAUGCCUAUUGGAUUAAAAAUGCAAACGCUUUGUUUUAUUUUGUUAAAUACUACUUGAAUCAAGGUGUCUAU
rnacentral:lncRNA from 1 species